ACCUGUUCCCUGAGACCCUAACUCGUGAGCUCUGUGAACGAAAAAUCACGGGCUAGGCUCUCGGGACCCGGG
rnacentral:pre_miRNA from 1 species